rnacentral:rRNA from 1 species
UACAGAGGUCUUAAGCGUUGUUCGGAUUCAUUGGGCGUAAAGGGUGUGUAGGUGGCGCGCUAAGUCGGGUGUGAAAUCUCGGAGCUUAACUUCGAAAUUGCAUUCGAUACUGGCGUGCUUGAGGACUGGAGAGGAGACUGGAAUUCAUGGUGUAGCAGUGAAAUGCGUAGAGAUCAUGAGGAAGACCAGUGGCGAAGGCGGGUCUCUGGACAGUUCCUGACACUGAGGCACGAAGGCCAGGGGAGCAAACGGG